UGACCGUGUCAUUAUCGACGUCUCCGAGGCAGAUGGCGUGGGGGAAGAGGCUCCCGCUGAACUCCAGGGCCACGCGCUGCUCUGCGCGCCCUGGUCCGCCGACGCUUUCCUGGCCGAGCCGUUUCCUUGGCAACAGGGCUUUCGCGGGCUUGACCUAAUAACCUUGACCUUGCCCUUUGUUGCCCUGGCAGUGAAGAUUCCCAGCCGUCAGACCAUCCCUGAGAAUCAUAAUAAUCGUAAUAACCGAUGACUGUGUGGUUUCCAACAGUGUUUUAAAAAAAACUACGUAGCUCCCAUUACGAGUCUUGAAAUGAGGGUAGUGAAUCGGACCAGCUUUUUAAAAAACGAAAUAGAAUAGAAAAUGCCAAGUAAUCUCGAGUAGUAAGCCCUGUGAAUGAAAUAGUAAAAUAAAUUAAUUAAUAAUCCAGGACAAAAUAGAUGAGGAUCACCUUGCUCCUGUCACCCAGGGCCCUGGCCUGCCCCAGCUCUCUGAAAUGGGACCCUGACCCGGCGCCCACCGUGCCUUGGUUUAUCCUCUUCAUCACUUGGGCUUCUUGUUCUUGACCUUCCUGUGUCAGGGUGCCUGUUUUUGUUUGCCCUGUGUUUGUCAUUUCAUGAAGGUCAUGUCAUUAUGAUUGCAACUUGGAUACAGUUUCUUUUGGCUUUUGUCAAGAGGGCCAAACAAAGUUAGAAAGGAAGGAAAGAUAGGUCUCCGAGAAACAUGGCGAGACUCAAGCCCCCCUGCCCCAUGCCUCUCCCCGCUGCGCCAGUUACUUUAACUGCACUGAGUGUUACGGUCCCAGUGAGUGGAACACAGGCCCAGGCAUGGCAGAGCCAUGCAGACAGAGCCCUGGCUCCGCAAGGAGACCCCUGUUGUUGGCCUUUUUUAGUGAGACGGUUGGCGGGUCUCCAGCGGCACUAUCUAGCGCUCGUCUCAUUUAGGCCAAGCGCUCUCUCGGUGUGGAUUUUGGCUUCCUCCCCAGCACUGCCUAACCAGGCGGUCUUCCUGGUUAGAUGACUUGGAUACGGUGUUGUGUGGGUAGCUGAACAAUAGCUUCAGAAGAAACCUGCUAAUGGCAAGGGAAGGGGAGGUGUGUUAAGCAGGAAGCGUUUCUAGGGAGAUUCUUUGUCCACCUCUUUCUCCACGGGUAGACAGGGUGGUCCUGUUCAGGGUGUCGGCCUAGGGUGCCCAGGGAAGAGACAGGACCUUGAAAUGACUCUUUCUGCAUGUGAGGCCCAGAGCCACUCACCAUCCUGAGGGCGGGGCCGGAGCUUCCAAUGGGCUCAGUGUGAGACUUCCACAGGUGCGAGUCGCAGUGCACCUUAGCGUGCUGAAGGUUCUAGAGGCCGUGAGGCACGGAAGGCUGUUCCUCACACUCGCUUGACCUAAUAGCCGUGAGGCAGAACAGCAGUGUGGGCCCUGCUCUGAGUGGGAUCGUCAGUCAGAGCCCACUGCACUUGCGUGUCCUUUCCCCCGCCCGCCCCCAUCGGAACCCGUCAGAGCUGGUGCCUGUCCAGGACUCUACUGGCCAUUAACCGAAGCAGUGGAGAGUCGUUCUUGUCACCGAAGCCCAGACAUCAGGACCUGGGCUUGAAACGCGAAGGGCGGUGAAAGUGUUUCAGAAGCGGCUGGAGGUGGUGCUUGUGCAACACUGUAACCGGACUGAAGGCCACGGAAUUGUUCGCUUUAAAUGGUUAAAACCAUGUGAAUUUCACCUCAAUGAAAAACAAAAUACAAAAGUAACCGUUUUAUGUGUGAGGCACUUCUAACCGUGGAACCGGAGACUGGAGAUCUGAAGGGAACGUGCUCGUCUCCGGUUGGGGGACAGGGCAUGGCUGGUCCUCUCUUCUAGUCAAGGAGCUCUCAGUUCACGAAGGCACUGCUUUUUCUUGAUCACUCGUCCUUAGAACCACUGUGUGAAUCUUUCACAUUCUCGCUUUGCCUC